rnacentral:miRNA from 1 species
GAAAAUGGAGUUAAAUUUGAAUUUCAAAUACACAAGGAAUAAAAUUAGUAUAAGUAUAUCCCAUGCAAUAGUUGGGGCAUACUUAUGCUUAA